UACAGAGGUCUCAAGCGUUGUUCGGAUUCAUUGGGCGUAAAGGGUGCGUAGGUGGCGUGGUAAGUCGGGUGUGAAAUUUCGGAGCUUAACUCCGAAACUGCAUUCGAUACUGCCGUGCUUGAGGACUGGAGAGGAGACUGGAAUUUACGGUGUAGCAGUGAAAUGCGUAGAGAUCGUAAGGAAGACCAGUGGCGAAGGCGGGUCUCUGGACAGUUCCUGACACUGAGGAGCGAAAGCGUGGGGAGCAAACAGG
rnacentral:rRNA from 1 species